rnacentral:rRNA from 1 species
ACGCUUGAAGUCAGUCGCGUCGGCCUGGGAUCAGCCCCGCUCUUGCGAGGUGCACUCCCCGGUCGACGGGUCAGCACCAGUUUCGACCGUUGGAGAAGGGUCGGGGGAAUGUGGCAUCCUCGGAUGUGUUUAUAGCCCUGGAUCGCAUGCAUCGGUUGGGAUUGAGGAACUCGGCGCGCCGCAAGGCCGGGUUUUCGAACCACGUCCGCGCCCAGGAUGCUGGCAGAAUGGCUUUAAUCGACCCGUCUUGAAACACGGACCAAGGAGUC